AACGAACGCUGGCGGCAGGCCUAACACAUGCAAGUCGAGCGCGCCCUUCGGGGUGAGCGGCGGACGGGUGAGUAACGCGUGGGAACGUGCCCUUAUGUUCGGAAUAACCUCGGGAAACUGGGAGUAAUACCGCAUAAGCCCUUUGGAGGAAAGAUUUAUCGGAGAAGGAUCGGCCCGCGUUGGAUUAGGUAGUUGGUGGGGUAAAGGCCCACCAAGGCGACGAUCCAUAGCUGGUUUGAGAGGAUGAUCAGCCACACUGGGACUGAGACACGGCCCAGACUCCUACGGGAGGCAGCAGUGGGGAAUCUUAGACAAUGGGGGCAACCCUGAUCUAGCCAUGCCGCGUGAGUGAUGAAGGCCUUAGGGUUGUAAAGCUCUUUCAGCUGGGAAGAUAAUGACGGUACCAGCAGAAGAAGCCCCGGCUAACUCCGUG
rnacentral:rRNA from 1 species